UACGGAGGGGGCGAGCGUUAUUCGGAAUUAUUGGGCGUAAAGGGCAGGUAGGCGGCCUCAUAUGUCCUUUGUGAAAGCCCUCGGCUCAACCGAGGAACUGCAGGGGAAACUGUGGGGCUUGAGUCCGGGAGAGGGUAGCGGAAUUCCCAGUGUAGCGGUGAAAUGCGUAGAUAUUGGAAGGAACAUCAGUGGCGAAAGCGACUUCCUGGACCAGUACCGACGUUCAGGCACGAAAGCGUGGGGAGCAAACAGG
rnacentral:rRNA from 1 species